rnacentral:tRNA from 1 species
GGUGGGAUCGCAUAGCGGUCGAGUGCGGUUGCUUGGAGAGCAACUAGGCCUUAACGGGUCUCCAGGGUUCGAAUCCCUGUCCCACCG